UGAGUCCACCUGGGAACCUCCAUAUACUGUGGGUGUGGCCCUAAAAAGACCCCCCUCCCCCGCAAAAAAAAAGGUGCAGAAAACGACUACAUUGCUCACCAGAAGACAUCACUGGCCCUUUAGCACUGCCUAGUGUACAGCAUGUUAAAAUUCUGCUACCCACUGUUUAGAAGUAAUUGGCUGAUGUACCAACGUGUCUAAUACUUUUACAGACAAAAGACUGCAGCCUCACACUUACCUGUGUAAUUGAAAACAAAUGAUGCCUGACAAAUGCUUAAUUAUUUCUGAAUUUCAUAUUAGAACAAUGUCAACAUCUUGCAACAUAGAUUUUGAUGAAUAACUUGGCUGCACUAAACCUCUUAAAAGAAAAAUACUGGCUUUGAUGAUCUGAGAUUUUCGGUUUAUGAGGUCAUUAAUCAUGGCAAGUGUUGUGCCUCGUUUCUGCUAGAGAGUUAUUAUCUGCCCUUAGGGCCAUGGAAUGUUUAUUAGACUUAAGUUAAAAAAGAAAAUGGUUUCUGCUCAAAUUCUAUUAAGAAUAAUUUCUCAAUCAGCAACCAUUUCCCCCAUCUCUCCAUUAAAUAUAAGAAAGAGGAAGCUUUAAAAGAAACUCCACCAGGCUGCCCUUCACCAUUCUCACACCCUUAUGUAGUGAAAUGACAGUAACACCCAUUGGCUUAAAAAAUCUUUCUCUCUUUGGUGAGACUGUGACCGAGGGUAGGUGUCUCUUGCAAUUCUGAACUCGGGGCAGGGGGAGGGGGGGAGGGAAUCAGGGCAUGACAGUGUAUGUGCUUUUUUAGAAAUGUUUAAGCUCCACUGUGCAGAUACAUAUACCACAUGGACCACAUUAUAAGAAAAGGUCCUAAAAUGUCUGGAACCCAUGGAAGCUCACUUGGAAUCACCAUAGCUAAUAAAUACGGCGAGCAUACAUUUUACUGAAAGCCACUACACCGCGAGCAUACAUUUUACUGAAAGCCACUACACCUGCAGUCGGAGCAAAUGGCAGCGACAGCAAGGAGAGGGGACGGCAACCAGAAGCAAGUUAUUUCCGCCACCAGAGCCUUGGAAAAGUUCAAGAACAGAGGCACCACCUCUGAAGAUGGGAUCCCAGCGUUGUGGGGAGUCUGGCCCAGAGGAGACGAACCUCCAGGUCCUCUUGUCUCCUCCCCUGGCCUGCCGAAGAUGGAGGGUUUCUUUCUAGAGGGGUUGCAUCAGAGAAAGUCUGUCUCCAGAGGCACCUGGAGCACCUGAAGGUGCAGGUGAGGAGUCCCGCCGAGAAAAGAGAUAUCAAAUGACAGGCUACAUGUUGAAAAGGCAACCUGGAACGCUCCUCCCCUGGCUCAGCUUCCAAAACACUGGUGGCCAGUGUUUCCUCUAUGGAGACACUCAAUCAUCUUAAAAGAAGGACCUAGAUCUAGUGAGACUUGAGCAUCCGCCAAUGAAACAGGAGGUCCCUCCCCAGAGGCCCAUCUGUUGACAAGCCCCAGCCAUGGAUACAGUUUGCAACCAGCGUGGUUAGCUCCUUGCUAAACUGAAAAGACAGCUGAGUAGCAGACAGUUGAGGGAUGGUUCUCUCUGUAAGACAGUGACCAAAAGAAACAGACAAAAUUAACUCGGAUGGAACAGACAAUGUGGAGAGCAAAAGAACACAGGACUCUAGAAUGAAUAUUCUCCUGGAGCCUGCUGGGGAAUGAGCGUUCUCCUUCAAAAAAAAAUGAAUAAACCAAGAAAAAGCAUGCGAUUGAAGAAAAAGCAUGUGAUUCAAGAAAAGAGGAUUCCCAGGAUGAAGGGAAGGCUCUGGAUGACAGCUGUGCAGAAAGCAACUAAUCCAGAUCCUAUCAAGACGAUGAAGCUCCAGGAGGGUAAACGGGCAGAUUAUCCAUCCUGUUUGACAGGAAGAAAAGGUUUUUCAGGAGUCGGAGGCUCUGGGGAUGGUUCGGUCCUAAGUACAAAGAGAGCGAAGUAAAUUUUUCAUUCCAAGGAAAACUCAUUGUGUAAGAAAGAAAAUGGUGGUGGCUGCCGGGGGCGCAGGGGUUGGGAAAAGAGGGGGAGUUACUGUUCAACAUGCAAGAUGAAGAGGUUCUAGAGACCUGUGGUGCCACAGGGUGUCUGCAGUUUACCACUGGGUAUUGUUAGGAGUAGAGCUCACGGGAAGAGGUCUUAGCACAUGGGGGUGGGGGGAGAGGAAACGUCUGUUAAUGACAGAGUUAGUGUCUUGAGUGUGCUGAUGCUUCUACAGGUCUAUACCUAUCGCCAAACGCAUCAAUUGUAUACACUAAAAUGUCCAGGGGUUUUGUAUGUCAGUUAACCUCAAAAAGGCUGUUUUUAAAAGAAAUAAAAUGUAUUCACAACAUAUAUUAUUGCACCUAUGAACAAUAAUACACAGUCAUUAACAAUCUAAGCACUGAAUAUGAUUUUAC